rnacentral:tRNA from 1 species
GCGCAGAUGUUGGAAUAGGUAGACAAGCGACACUUAAAAUGUCGUGCCCAAAAGGCGUGCGGGUUCGAUCCCCGCUCUGCGCACCA